GAUGCAGCGUGAUGACAAACCAGACAAUAAUUUCGUUAUGGCGGUCGAAUAUAUGCGAGUAUCCUUCUUUUUGGGUUAUCUCACCAGGCGCGGAAGGUUGUGCUGAAUUUUUUAUGGACUCCAUAAAAAAAAAAAACAUACAGAGUGGCUCUAAUCGACGUCGUGCGUUAGAGCCGCGCGAGGAUAGCGUGUGAACCGUUUCAUGUGAAACCGUAAAGGUCAGAGACUCGAGGCUCUAACUAGAUGCUCCAAAUAGGUGUUAAGUUCUCGAGGGAGAUUAAUGCAUGCAAGCAGCUCAAAAAAUGGGGUGGCCUUAUUCAACUGCAACGACAGUAUAGAGAGCGUGCGCUAAAUUAUUACUUUCCAAGGUGCAACGUAUACGACAACCAGUACCCAAUGAAACUGCAUAUUUUUCAACGGUAUCAUUCGUCAGGGCAAUAUUAAUUUUGUUCGAUCGGCUAUACAAGCACCUUCGACGUAUACGGUAUGUUUAUUAGAUCGAUGGAUGUCAUUGACACUUAAAAAAAGAAAUAGAUA